rnacentral:piRNA from 1 species
CAGAAGAUUAAAUCUCUGACUUCAAGGUGU